CAGGGUCUCACCAGUUUCCCUGCUCAAUAUGGUGUAUGCGUUCCGAACACUUGCUCAUCCAAAGACCUUAACUUUCUAAUAAACAAUGGAAUCCACUUGUUACCAUUCAAUAGCACCAAGAAUUACUCUGUUGCUUCCUACUGCGAAACCAAACCAGGUUUUGAUGGCAAAGCCAUUUUCUCUAUAGUUAGCUGCUCUUUGUUCCUGGCGUUGUUGGUCUUUGCCACUUUGUACCAUGUGACAUGCUAUGAAGAUCGGGUGACACAGCCUAAAUCUGCAGCGUCGAAGUCAGCCCGGCAUGGCAUCGUCGUCAAUGCCGACGUGGACCCUUCAGAUCCUGACACCUAUCCAGAUGACCUCGAUCAGCCUGACACAGUCCAGCUUCUUCCUGUACAAAAAGAA
rnacentral:lncRNA from 1 species